rnacentral:rRNA from 1 species
GACGAACGCUGGCGGCGUGCUUAAUACAUGCAAGUCAACUUGACUUUAGAUAGCAAUAUCGAAAAGUAGGGUGGCGCACGGGUGCGUAACGCGUAGGUAAUCUGCCCUGAGGUCUGACAUAACCCGUCGAAAGGCGGGCUAACAUCAGAUGAUAUAUAAUCACGACAUCGUGGAAAUAUCAAAUCUUCGGAGCCUUGGGAUGAGCCUGCGUCUGAUUAGGUAGUUGGCGGAGUAAUAGCCCACCAAGCCUACGAUCAGUAGCUGGUCUGAGAGGAUGAUCAGCCACACUGGAACUGAGACACGGUCCAGACUCCUACGGGAGCAGCAGUAAGGAAUAUUGCUCAAUGGGGAAACCCUGAAGCAGCAACGCCGCGUGAAGGAUGAAAUACUUUGUAUGUAAACUUCUGUAAGAUGGGAAAAUAUUACUCCUCGGGUAGAAGUUGAUUGUACCAUCAGAGUAAG